GACGAACGCUGGCGGCGUGCUUAACACAUGCAAGUCGAGCGGUAAGGCCCUUUCGGGGGUACACGAGCGGCGAACGGGUGAGUAACACGUACGUGACCUGUCCGGAAGUGGGGAAUAACCAGCCGAAGGUUGGCUAAUACCGCAUACGGUUACUGCUUGGAAGCAGCAAACCAAAGUACGCAAGACGCUUCCGGAGGGGCGUGCGGCCGAUUAGCUUGUUGGUGUGGUAACGGCGCACCAAGGCGGUGANCGGUAGCUGGUCUGAGAGGAUGGUCAGCCACACUGGGGACUGAGACACGGCCCAGGACUCCUACGGGAGGCAGCAGCAGGGAA
rnacentral:rRNA from 1 species